rnacentral:rRNA from 1 species
UCGGGAAUAUUGCGCAAUGGAGGAAACUCUGACGCAGUGACGCCGCGCAUAGGAUGAAGGUUUUCGGAUUGUAAACUAUUGUCGUUAGGGAAGAUAAAAGACAGUACCUAAGGAGGAAGCUCCGGCUAACUACGUGCCAGCAGCCGCGGUAAUACGUAGGGAGCAAGCGUUAUCCGGAUUUAUUGGGUGUAAAGGGUGUGUAGACGGGAAAUUAAGUUAGUUGUGAAAUCCCUCGGCUUAACUGAGGAACUGCAACUAAAACUGGUUUUCUUGAGUGCAGGAGAGGAAAGAGGAAUUCCUAGUGUAGCGGUGAAAUGCGUAGAUAUUAGGAGGAACACCAGUGGCGAAGGCGUCUUUCUGGACUGUAACUGACGCUGAGGCUCGAAAGCGUGGGGAGCGAACAGG